rnacentral:tRNA from 1 species
UCCCUGGUAGCUCAGAGGGUAAAGCAUCUGCCUGCAAUGCGGGAGACCCAGGUUUAAUCCCUGGGUCGGGAA